CAGGGGAGACAGGUGGUGCAUGGUUGUCGUCAGCUCGUGUCGUGAGAUGUUGGGUUAAGUCCCGCAACGAGCGCAACCCUUGAUGUUAGUUGCCAGCGCGUUAGGCUGGGCACUUUUGGAUGUCUGCCGGUGACAAACCGGAGGAAGGUGGGGAUGACGUCAAAUCAUCAUGCCCCUUAUGGCCUGGGCGACACACGUACUACAAUGGCCGGU
rnacentral:rRNA from 1 species